AUUGAACGCUGGCGGCAUGCCUUACACAUGCAAGUCGAACGGCAGCACGGGAGCAAUCCUGGUGGCGAGUGGCGAACGGGUGAGUAAUAUAUCGGAACGUGCCCAGUCGUGGGGGANAACGUUUAGCGAAAGCUACGCUAAUACCGCAUACGAUCUAUGGAUGAAAGCGGGGGAUCGCAAGACCUCGCGCGAUUGGAGCGGCCGAUAUCAGAUUAGGUAGUUGGUGAGGUAAAGGCUCACCAAGCCGACGAUCUGUAGCUGGUCUGAGAGGACGACCAGCCACACUGGGACUGAGACACGGCCCAGACUCCUACGGGAGGCAGCAGUGGGGAAUUUUGGACAAUGGGCGCAAGCCUGAUCCAGCAAUGCCGCGUGCAGGAUGAAGGCCUUCGGGUUGUAAACUGCUUUUGUACGGAACGAAACGGUGAGCUCUAAUACAGUUUGCUAAUGACGGUACCGUAAGAAUAAGCACCGGCUAACUACGUG
rnacentral:rRNA from 1 species